CAGGCCUAACACAUGCAAGUCAAACGGCUCUUCGGAGCAGUGGCGCACGGGUGAGUAACGCGUGGGAACGUACCAUUUAGUAGGGGAUAGCUCCGGGAAACUGGAAUUUAUACCCUAUACGCCCUCCGGGGGAAAGAUUUAUCGCUAAAUGAUCGGCCCGCGUGACAUUAGCUAGUUGGUGGGGUAAAAGCCUACCAAGGCGACGAUGUCUAGCUGGUCUGAGAGGAUGAUCAGCCACACUGGGACUGAGACACGGCCCAGACUCCUACGGGAGGCAGCAGUGAGGAAUAUUGGACAAUGGGGGAAACCCUGAUCCAGCCAUGCCGCGUGAAUGAUGAAGGCCUUAGGGUUGUAAAGUUCUUUCGCUGGUGAAGAUAAUGACGGUAACCAGUAAAGAAGCCCCGGCUAACUUCGUGCCAGCAGCCGCGGUAAUACGAAGGGGGCUAGCGUUGUUCGGAAUCACUGGGCGUAAAGCGCGCGUAGGCGGAUUUGUAAGUCAGAGGUGAAAGCCCGGGGCCCAACCCCGGAAUUGCCUUUGAAACUACAAGUCUAGAAUCUCGGAGGGGGUAGUGGAAUUCCAAAUGUAGGGGUGAAAUCCGUAGAUAUUUGGAGGAACACCGGUGGCGAAGGCGGCUACCUGGACGAGUAU
rnacentral:rRNA from 1 species